rnacentral:rRNA from 1 species
AUGAACGCUAGCGACAGGCUUAACACAUGCAAGUCGAGGGGCAGCACAGGUAGCAAUACCGGGUGGCGACCGGCGCACGGGUGAGUAACGCGUAUGCAACUUGCCUAUCAGAGGGGGAUAACCCGGCGAAAGUCGGACUAAUACCGCAUGAAGCAGGGGCCCCGCAUGGGGAUAUUUGCUAAAGAUUCAUCGCUGAUAGAUAGGCAUGCGUUCCAUUAGGCAGUUGGCGGGGUAACGGCCCACCAAACCGACGAUGGAUAGGGGUUCUGAGAGGAAGGUCCCCCACAUUGGUACUGAGACACGGGCCAAACUCCUACGGGAGGCAGCAGUGAGGAAUAUUGGUCAAUGGCCGAGAGGCUGAACCAGCCAAGUCGCGUGAGGGAUGAAGGUUCUAUGGAUCGUAAACCUCUUUUAUAAGGGAAUAAAGUGCGGGACGUGUCCCGUUUUGUAUGUACCUUAUGAAUAAGGAUCGGCUAACUCCGUGCCAGCAGCCGCGGUAAUACGGAGGAUCCGAGCGUUAUCCGGAUUUAUUGGGUUUAAAGGGUGCGUAGGCGGCCUUUUAAGUCAGCGGUGAAAGUCUGUGGCUCAACCAUAGAAUUGCCGUUGAAACUGGGGGGCUUGAGUAUGUUUGAGGCAGGCGGAAUGCGUGGUGUAGCGGUGAAAUGCAUAGAUAUCACGCAGAACCCCGAUUGCGAAGGCAGCCUGCCAAGCCAUUACUGACGCUGAUGCACGAAAGCGUGGGGAUCAAACAGGAUUAGAUACCCUGGUAGUCCACGCAGUAAACGAUGAUCACUAGCUGUUUGCGAUACACUGUAAGCGGCACAGCGAAAGCGUUAAGUGAUCCACCUGGGGAGUACGCCGGCAACAGGGAAACUCAAAGGAAUUGACGGGGGCCCGCACAAGCGGAGGAACAUGUGGUUUAAUUCGAUGAUACGCGAGGAACCUUACCCGGGUUUGAACGCAUUCGGACCGAGGUGGAAACACCUUUUCUAGCAAUAGCCGUUUGCGAGGUGCUGCAUGGUUGUCGUCAGCUCGUGCCGUGAGGUGUCGGCUUAAGUGCCAUAACGAGCGCAACCCUUGCCACUAGUUACUAACAGGUUAGGCUGAGGACUCUGGUGGGACUGCCAGCGUAAGCUGCGAGGAAGGCGGGGAUGACGUCAAAUCAGCACGGCCCUUACAUCCGGGGCGACACACGUGUUACAAUGGCGUGGACAAAGGGAUGCCACCUGGCGACAGGGAGCGAAUCCCCAAACCACGUCUCAGUUCGGAUCGGAGUCUGCAACCCGACUCCGUGAAGCUGGAUUCGCUAGUAAUCGCGCAUCAGCCAUGGCGCGGUGAAUACGUUCCCGGGCCUUGUACACACCGCCCGUCAAGCCAUGGGAGCCGGGGGUACCUGAAGUCCGUAACCGAAAGGAUCGGCCUAGGGUAAAACUGGUGACUGGGGCU